AUCACUUCUCAGCCUUUUGGCUAAGAUCAAGUGCAGAAGCUGAGAUUUAAGGCAAUAUAUUUGUGUAAGACAUUUAAGUUUUUGAAGUGUAUUUCCAACCAUCUUUAUGUCACUCCCACAGAAGAGGUGGUAAGAAAG
rnacentral:snRNA from 1 species